rnacentral:rRNA from 1 species
GUACGCUGGCGGCACGCCUAACACAUGCAAGUCGAACGAAGUAGCAAUACUUAGUGGCAGACGGGUGAGUAACAUGUAGGUAUCUGCCCUUUGGCCUGGAAUAACACGAGGAAACUUGUGCUAAUACCGGAUAAGUCUUUACGGAGAAAGCUUUAUGCACCAUUGGAUGAGCCUGCACUUGAUUAGUUUGUUGGUGGGGUAAUGGCCUACCAAGACUGUGAUCAAUAGCUGAUUUGAGAGGAUGAUCAGCCACAUUGGGACUGAGACACGGCCCAAACUCCUACGGGAGGCAGCAGUGGGGAAUCUUGCACAAUGGAGGAAACUCUGAUGCAGCGAUGCCGCGUGAGUGAAGAAGGCCUUUGGGUUGUAAAGCUCUUUCGUCGGGGAAGAAAAUGACUGUACCCGAAUAAGAAGGUCCGGCUAACUUCGUGCCAGCAGCCGCGGUAAUACGAAGGGACCUAGCGUAGUUCGGAAUUACUGGGCUUAAAGAGUUCGUAGGUGGUUGAAAUAGUUGGUGGUGAAAUCCCAGAGCUUAACUCUGGAACUGCCAUCAAAACUUUUCAGCUAGAGUAUGAUAGAGGAAAGCAGAAUUUCUAGUGUAGAGGUGAAAUUCGUAGAUAUUAGAAAGAAUACCAAUUGCGAAGGCAGCUUUUCUGGAUCAUUACUGACACUGAGGAACGAAAGCAUGGGUAGCGAAGAGGAUUAGAUACCCUCGUAGUCCAUGCCGUAAACGAUGUGUGUUAGACGUUGGAAAUUUAUUUUCAGUGUCGCAGGGAAACCGAUAAACACACCGCCUGGGGAGUACGACCGCAAGGUUAAAACUCAAAUGAAUUGACGGGGACCCGCACAAGUAGUGGAGCAUGUGGUUUAAUUCGAAGAUACGCGCAGAACCUUACCAACACUUGACAUGUUCGUCGCGACUCUAAGAGAUUAGAGUUUUCGGUUCGGCCGGACGAAACACAGGUGCUGCAUGGCUGUCGUCAGCUCGUGUCGUGAGAUGUUGGGUUAAGUCCCGCAACGAGCGCAACCCUCACUUUUAGUUGCCAUCAUUAAGUUGGGCACUCUGAAAGAACUGCCAGUGAUAAGCUGGAGGAAGGUGGGGAUGACGUCAAGUCCUCAUGGCCCUUACGUGUUGGGCUACACACGUGCUACAAUGGUAUCUACAACAGGAAGCAAGACUGCGAAGUUAAGCAAAUCCCUAAAAGAUACCUCAGUUCGGAUUGCACUCUGCAACUCGAGUGCAUGAAGCUGGAAUUACUAGUAAUCGUGGAUCAGCGUGCCACGGUGAAUGCGUUCCCGGGUCUUGUACACACCGCCCGUCACACCAUGGGAGUUGGUUCUACCUUAAGGCAAGGUUUCAAACCCUUGACCACGGUA